rnacentral:rRNA from 1 species
AGUGAACGCUGGCGGUAGGCCUAACACAUGCAAGUCGAACGGCAGCACAGUAAGAGCUUGCUCUUACGGGUGGCGAGUGGCGGACGGGUGAGGAAUACAUCGGAAUCUACUUUUUCGUGGGGGAUAACGUAGGGAAACUUACGCUAAUACCGCAUACGACCUACGGGUGAAAGCAGGGGAUCUUCGGACCUUGCGCGAUUGAAUGAGCCGAUGUCGGAUUAGCUAGUUGGCGGGGUAAAGGCCCACCAAGGCGACGAUCCGUAGCUGGCCUGAGAGGAUGAUCGGCCACACUGGAACUGAGACACGGUCCAGCCUCCUACGGGAGGCAGCAGUGGGGAAUAUUGGACAAUGGGCGCAAGCCUGAUCCAGCCAUACCGCGUGAGUGAAGAAGGCCUUCGGUUUGUAAAGCCCUUUUGUUGGGAAAGAAAAGCAGCAGGUUAAUACCCCGCUGUUCUGACGGUACCCAAAGAAUAAGCACCGGCUAACUUCGUG